rnacentral:rRNA from 1 species
CCUACGGGAGGCAGCAGUGAGGAAUAUUGGUCAAUGGACGCAAGUCUGAACCAGCCAUGCCGCGUGCAGGAAGACGGCUCUAUGAGUUGUAAACUGCUUUUGUACGAGGGUAAACGCAGAUACGCGUAUCUGUCUGAAAGUAUCGUACGAAUAAGGAUCGGCUAACUCCGUGCCAGCAGCCGCGGUAAUACGGAGGAUUCAAGCGUUAUCCGGAUUUAUUGGGUUUAAAGGGUGCGUAGGCGGUCGGAUAAGUUAGAGGUGAAAUUCCGAGGCUCAACCUCGGAAUUGCCUCUGAUACUGGUCGGCUAGAGAGGAGUUGCGGUAGGCGGAAUUGAUGGUGUAGCGGUGAAAUGCUUAGAGAUCAUACAGAACACCGAUUGCGAAGGCAGCUCACCAAGCUACUUCUGACGUUGAGGCACGAAAGUGUGGGGAGCAAACAGGAUUAGAUACCCGAGUAGUC